AUACGGAGGACGCGAGCGUUAUCCGGAUUCAUUGGGUUUAAAGGGUGCGCAGGCGGCCGUGCAAGUCAGCGGUGAAAGCCCGGGGCUCAACCCCGGAAGUGCCGUUGAUACUGCGUGGCUGGAAUGCGGUCGAGGCGGGCGGAACGUGGCGUGUAGCGGGGAAAUGCGUAGAUAUGCCACAGAACGCCGAUAGCGGAGGCAGCUCGCCAGGCCUGCAUUGACGAUCGGGCACGAAAGCGUGGGGAUCGAACAGGAUUAGAUACCCUGGUAGUCCACGCCGUAAACGAUGGGCGCUCGUCGUCGGCGACAGACAGUCGGCGGCCAAGCGAAAGCGAUAAGCGCCCCACCUGGGGAGUACGGUCGCAAGGCUGAAACUCAAAUGAAUUGACGGGG
rnacentral:rRNA from 1 species